CGGGGCGUAGCGCAGUUUGGCAGCGCGCGGCGUUUGGGGCGCCGAGGUCGGCGGUUCGAAUCCGCCCGCCCCGA
rnacentral:tRNA from 1 species